rnacentral:rRNA from 1 species
AACGCUAGCUACAGGCUUAACACAUGCAAGUCGAGGGGCAGCAUGAACUUAGCUUGCUAAGUUUGAUGGCGACCGGCGCACGGGUGAGUAACGCGUAUCCAACCUUCCGUUUACUCGGGUAUAGCCUUUCGAAAGAAAGAUUAAUCCCCGAUGGUAUGGUAAGAUUGCAUGAAAUUACCAUUAAAGAUUAAUCGGUAAACGAUGGGGAUGCGUUCCAUUAGGUAGUAGGCGGGGUAACGGCCCACCUAGCCGACGAUGGAUAGGGGUUCUGAGAGGAAGGUCCCCCACAUUGGAACUGAGACACGGUCCAAACUCCUACGGGAGGCAGCAGUGAGGAAUAUUGGUCAAUGGGCGAGAGGCUGAACCAGCCAAGUAGCGUGAAGGAUGACGGCCCUACGGGUUGUAAACUUCUUUUAUAAGGGAAUAAAGGAUGCCACGCGUGGUGUUUUGCAUGUACCUUAUGAAUAAGCGUCGGCUAACUCCGUGCCAGCAGCCGCGGUAAUACGGAGGAUGCGAGCGUUAUCCGGAUUUAUUGGGUUUAAAGGGAGCGUAGACGGGAUGUCAAGUCAGCUGUGAAAGUUUGCGGCUCAACCGUAAACUGCAGUUGAAACUGGCGUUCUUGAGUGCGUUCGAGGCAGGCGGAAUUCGUGGUGUAGCGGUGAAAUGCAUAGAUAUCACGAAGAACUCCGAUUG